rnacentral:tRNA from 1 species
UGUUCUGUGGCCUAAUUGGUUGAAGCGCCAGUCUAGUGAUUUCGAAGUCGUGGGUUCAAAUCCCACUAAAACGA